CCUACGGGAGGCAGCAGUGGGGAAUAUUGGACAAUGGGCGAAAGCCUGAUCCAGCAAUGCCGCGUGAGUGAUGAAGGCCUUCGGGUCGUAAAGCUCUUUUACCAGGGAUGAUAAUGACAGUACCUGGAGAAUAAGCUCCGGCUAACUCCGUGCCAGCAGCCGCGGUAAUACGGAGGGAGCUAGCGUUGUUCGGAAUUACUGGGCGUAAAGAGUACGUAGGCGGUUAUUCAAGUCAGAGGUGAAAGCCCGGGGCUCAACCCCGGAACUGCCUUUGAAACUAGAUAACUAGAGUCUUGGAGAGGUUAGUGGAAUUCCGAGUGUAGAGGUGAAAUUCGUAGAUAUUCGGAAGAACACCAGUGGCGAAGGCGACUAACUGGACAAGUACUGACGCUGAGGUACGAAAGCGUGGGGAGCAAACAGGAUUAGAUACCCUGGUAGUCCACGCCGUAAACGAUGAUAACUAGUUGUUCGGUCACUUGGUGACUGAGUGACGCAGCUAACGCAUUAAGUUAUCCGCCUGGGGAGUACGGUCGCAAGAUUAAAACUCAAAUNAUAGAGNGNGAGAGNGCGAGACGACACGAGGAGAG
rnacentral:rRNA from 1 species